CACCUUGCUAUCGUCAAUGACAAAUUCCAGCGCAUUCUUGUUUUAGCGUAAUAGGUAUUAAGAAGAGCGCUGCCAAGCUAUCGCCUACUGCCUUCUUUUCUGGGCGACUCUAUCUCACCGGAGAAUCUUAGCUCUGUGACAGUUCCAUAGCUUUGAGGUGACCAGUAUUUGUUUCAUAAAAGAGAAGGGAAGACGCAGUGACCUUAAAUAUAUUGUUUCUAGCGAUGUCCAGCUUGUGAUUUGACUGCAGGUUGAACAGUCACCCUUAGACGUCCAUCUCCUAUGCAAAGCCAUUCCCAACAGUGCUGGAAACGUCAGGAAACACAGGUGAAUACAUCACAUCAUCAAGCGUGAGGGUCGUGACAACAGCCCUGCAGUUUUCUGGUAUGACCGACUCACGCCGUCCUGCCACGCAGACGUGGGGCUCUGCAGCCAGACUUGCCGCGCGACUGGCAACAGGCAACGGGGCGGCGCGGGCUCUGCACAAGGCAGUCGAUGAGAUCCCUCUUCCUAAGGGGCUCAAAGAGCCCACAACAGGCAGCCCGCCAUCUCCAGGGGCCCGCCCGCAGGGGAGGAGUCGGAUAAACCGUUGGAAAACGUGCAGAGGACGGACGGUCUGGGCCCCGGGAAACCGUCUUCUGGGGUAACUCACGUGAAACUCGGGCUGUCGGGGAGACGCAGAUUAUUUAGAGGUCAAGCAUAUUGUACUUUGUAGUCCUUUAUACGCCAUCAUAAAAAUUUAUGAUGAGGAAAGU